AUCUUAGCAACAGAUACGCCGAACUUUGCGUUAACGCAUCUUUAAAUGUUUAUGAUUAUAGA
rnacentral:tRNA from 1 species